UCCAGGGUAGCCUAGUGGACAUGGCAUCUGCCCGGUAAGCGGAAGAUUGUGGGUUCGAUUCCCAUCCCUGGAC
rnacentral:tRNA from 1 species